UACGUAGGGACUGAGCGUUGUCCGGAAUCAUUGGGCGUAAAGAGCGUGUAGGCGGCCACUUAAGUCCUGCGUGAAAUCUUGCGGCUCAACCGCAAGCGGUCGUGGGAAACUGGGUGGCUAGAGUGCGGGAGAGGAGAGCGGAAUUCCUGGUGUAGCGGUGGAAUGCGCAGAUAUCAGGAAGAACACCCGUGGCGAAGGCAGUUCUCUGGGCCGUAACUGACGCUGAGGAGCGAAAGCGUGGGGAGCGAACAGG
rnacentral:rRNA from 1 species